GAGUGGCGAACGGGUGAGUAAUGCAUCGGAACGUAUCCAUUUGUGGGGGAUAGCCCGGCGAAAGCCGGAUUAAUACCGCAUAAUCUCUGAGGAGGAAAGUGGGGGACCUUCGGGCCUUACGCUGAUGGAGCGGCUGAUGUCGGAUUAGCUAGUUGGUAGGGUAAAGGCCUACCAAGGCGACGAUCCGUAGCUGGUCUGAGAGGACGACCAGCCACACUGGAACUGAGACACGGUCCAGACUCC
rnacentral:rRNA from 1 species